rnacentral:lncRNA from 1 species
UUUUUUUUUUGCUUUUUAGGGCUGCACCUGCAGCAUAGGGAGGUUCCCAGGCUAGGGGUCGAAUUGGAGCUACAGCUGCUGGCCUACACCACAGCCACAGCAACGCCUGAUGAACCACAUCUGUGACCUACAGCAUAGCUCACAGCAACACUAGAUCCUUAACCCACUAAGCAAGGCCAGGGAGCAAACCCAAAACCUCAUGGUUCCAAGUCAGAUUCGUUUCCGCUGCACAACGAUGGGAACUCCAAGAGGGUUAUUCUUGAACAAAGUUUUCAUGCUUUGCUAAAGUUUGGACUUGGUUGGGGCCUAUGACUCCUUUUUUCCUUCUGAUUUCUCCCUUUUGGAGUGAGAAUGUCUAUCCUCUGCAUGUUCCACAACAUUAUUUUAUUUUAUUUUAUUUAUUUAAUCUUUUUGCCAUUUCUUGGGCCGCUCCCGCAGCAUAUGGGAGGUUCCCAGGCUAGGGGUCUAAUCAGAGCUGUAGCCACCAGCCUACACCAGAGCCACAGCAACGCAGGAUCCGAGCCGCGUCUGCGACCUACACCACAGGUCACAGCAAUGCCGGAUCCUUAACCCACUGAGCAAGGGCAGGGAUCGAACCUGCAACCUCAUGGUUCCUAGUCGGAUUCGUUAACCACUGAGCCACGACGGGAAUUCCCAACAUUAUUUUAGAAGCACAUAACUGACAUGGUUUCAGAGGUUCACAUCUGGAGAGCAGUUCUGUCUCAGGAUGAACUGUAUCUCAAGUUUCACUUACAGCAGACUUAGAAGAUAUUUAGAUGAAACUUUGGACUUAUAGAGUUGAUACUGGAAUGAGUUAAGGCUCUGGGGGCUUCUGGGUGAAAGGAAUGUAGUUUGCAGCAAGGACAGGACUUUUAGGAGGGCCUUAGCAGCCCUAACUGACUUACGGCAGAAGAAAAGAUAAUACACACAUCCUACUCUCAACUGGUUCAGUGAGAAAUGUGUGUGUGUGCGCGCGCGCGCGCGUGCGUGCGUGCGUGCGUGCGUGUGUGUGUGUGUGUGUGUGUGUAUACAGAGAGAAAGAAAGAGAAUGAUGGAGAAUUUCACUCAUGAGCCAUUUGUGAGUUAGUGGCAGUUAUAAUGUACCUUUAUCUCAGUACUUCGUGUUUCUAAAAACAAAGACAUUCUUUCACAUAAUACAUACAGAACAAUUAUAAAAAUCAGGAUUUGCUAGAAUACUAAUAUCUAAUCUACAGACUUUAAUUUAGAUUUAAUUGUUCUAACAGUGUCCUUUAUAGUAAAAGAAAAUCCUAGAUGUUGCAGUCUGUCUCUUCAGUUUCAGAGAAGAAAAAAAAGGGGAGGGGGGAGAGUUGACAACAGUGUGAAAUGACUUAGAAGGAAUAAUCGUGAGCACAGGUUUCAAGAAUCCCAAAAAAGGACACAAACUGUACAAUGGUGCAAUAAUGGGGAAGUAAUUAUUGGGAAACAGAAGCUUACAUUUCUCAUGUAAGUAUGAAAUCACAUAAGCAUGAUUUUUUAAAGCAAAUAAACACAUUCCCAUUCCAGCUGAAUGUGACAGUAGGAUAAGAGAACCUGCCUUAACACCACAGAAUCUGCCCACCUGGUGGACAGCUGGGGACCUUAUUAAAACAAUAAUGUCCAAUAUGAACCACCCCAUUAUGCUUCAGCAAUCAAAGGAUUGCUAUGUCUUUCCCUUUAAAUGCACCCUAUUCAUUUCCAGUGGCUUGCUGUGUUGUUCCUUAAAAUCAGUUCUGCUGAAAUGGUCUUUUCUUGGAAUUUUACUGAAAUGUACUAGCCUCUCAUUACUGCCUACCACACAUACUAGAGAGAACAGUUUGGAGUUUUAUGUCCAUCACACAAGCUAGGCCACAUUCUGUACAUAUAUGUUAAGAAGUGUCCUCUCUUGGGGGUGGUGGGGCUGUACCCGUAAAAUAUGGACGUUUCUAGGCCAGGAUCUAACCUGAGCCACAGCUGAGACCUACACCACAGCUGUGCCAGAUCCUUUAACCCACUGUGCUGGGCCAGGAAUUGAACCUGCAAUGCCACAGAAACAACACCAGAUGCUUAACCUGUGCACCACAGCGGGAACUCUGUAUUUGUGUGUAUGUGUCCUCUUUUUUUGGAAAGCAAAUUUUGGAAAGUAGGAAGUCCACAUUUUUUCUUGCAAUCAGGAUCAAUUCCUGAAGUUCUGUUGGUAAGUAUCUCACAUGGAAUGGACUGAGAAGUGCUUCCAAAGCUAGCUGUAAGACAGACCUCUUUCUGGCCUUACAUAUUCCUGCUUGAAAACGCACACAUGCAGACCUGCAGGUAUACAUGCCCUGGACUCUCGGCCAGCGGCAGCCUGUGCACUCUGGGCUGUGAUGUUCUGCAGAGGCGUUCUUAUCAUCACUUGCCACCCACAGCUCUGGAGCACUUUCCUAGGUCUAGAUAAGCAUCAAGGUAUGACAGACAACUGUGACAGUCAGGAGAUCUGAGUACAGGUGCAUCUCUGCCACACACUGUGCAUCUUCUCCUGAGCUCUCUUCCAGCUCUAACAUGUUCUGGGCCUGCAACCCCGUGCCCUCCACGCUGGUCUCGUAGUGGACGUGAACUGGAAAGGCACCUCGGUUCAUGCAGGUUGCUCUUCUCUGGGAAUGCUCCCUGAUACCAGGGGUGGGCCCUGGUGGGCACAUCUGUGCACUGUGACCCAUUUCCUGGGUCAUAACUGACUGGCACAGGGGUAAGCACCUAUACCAAAAUGAACCCAACAGCACUUUCUUAUGGGGAUUUUAAGUUUCAGUGGGGAGAAUUUGCCCUUAAGUAGACUAGUACCUGUAUUACACUCUUCAUUUUCAUUUUAGGGCCACACCUACAGCAUAUGGACGUUCCCAGGCUAGAGGUUGGAUCAGAGCUGCAGCUGCUGGCCUACACCACAGCCACAGAAACGCCAGAUCCAAGCCACAUCUGUGACCUGUGCCACAGCUUGUGGCAAGUCUGGGUCCUUAAUCCACUGAGUGAGGCCAGGGAUCAAACCUGCAUCCUCACAGAUGCUAACUGGGUUCUUAACUCACUGAGCCACAAAAGGAACUCCUGUACUAGUUUACAUACCUGAAAAGUUAUAAAUG